GUAGGGAAUAUUGGGCAAUGGAUGCAAGUCUGACCCAGCCAUCCCGCGUGCCGGAAGAAGGCCCUCAGGGUUGUAAACGGCUUUUGACGGUGAAGAACCGACAGGAUGCGUCCUGUUUUGACGGUAGCCGUUGAAUAAGCACCGGCUAACUCCGUGCCAGCAGCCGCGGUAAUACGGAGGGUGCGAGCGUUGUCCGGAUUUAUUGGGUUUAAAGGGUGCGUAGGCUGGAAGGUCAGUCAGCGGUGAAAAGCUGUGGCUUAACGAUAGUCUUGACGCAGAUACUUCCUUUCUUGGAUGAGGAUGAGGCCACUGGAACGGAUGGUGUAGCGGUGAAAUGCAUAGAUAUCAUCCAGAACACCGAUUGCGAAGGCAGGUGGCUGUACCUUAAUCGACGCUGAUGCACGAAAGCAUGGGGAGCAAACAGGAUUAGAUACCCGGGUAGUCC
rnacentral:rRNA from 1 species